GGUUUGCAGUGAGAUUGGAGGUGGGCUGAGUUUGUGGUAUGUGAGUAAAGAGUUCUGUCUUGAUUUGAAGGGCUGUGAAGCUGCUGAGUUGGACCCUUAAGCUGCCUAAAGGAAGUACCAGGAGAGAUCAAGCAGUAAUUCUUUGCUGCCACCUGGAAAGAAUAUGCAAAGCCAGUUCUUCAAAAGGUCAGACUUACACCAGACACUGAAUAUAGAUAGAAAAGGAAAUCAGUGCUCAUUCUCCCUUUGGGUGGUACUUGACAUCACAAAGUUUGGUGUGCAAAGUAUUUUUUUGUACUUAUGGAAUGAAGUUUUUAACCUGAACUCUUGAGAAAGCUUGGAAGACUCUCUGCUGGGUCUCGACAUGGCAUUUCUAACUAACAUGAUGAAUGCUUUUGUUUGCUGUGUUUAUUUUCCUCCCUCAACUGAACCAGUCUCAUGGUGUUUAUUGUGCAGUUCAUUAUUUAUACCGCAGCAUUCAGCUGCCCUCAUCGGAUCAGCUCCCUCUGUGCAAACACACAGUGGGAAAGUCCCUUCUCUAAAGAGCUUUAGCCAUCGGUGCUAAUUAGAAGACAAAGGUGCCUGCUGCUCUCCCGGACUUUGUUCUCGCUGACAAUAACAGGCAGUUUGUUUUUGCUGAUGUCCCAGGAGACAAUGGCAUUGUUCCUCCCACGGGUCCUUUGCCAGCAGUCACCGCCCCAAGGGUGCAGGUUCAGCCGUGGAGGAUUUACCCAUCCUGUGAACAGACGAGCAUUUGCAACACGCUCCUUGCCUGUAGGAUGCUGACGUUCUGGCAUGUCUUUGGGGUUUUUUAAACAUAAAAUAAAUAUCCCAGCCGUGGGAGGUUGUUAUUCAGGUGCCUUUCUGUUAAACCACCAGAGAAACCUGGCUUUUCCUGACAGGAAUGUGGCAGAAGGUGAGGCCAUGGUAGCACCCUCCAAACACUCUGCUUCAUUUCAAGGACUCAAAAGGAUUUGAGCUGCAACUUCUUCCAUCUUUCUUUAUCUUCAGCAUUUCCAGUCUCUGUUUGGGAAGAUAUGAAGGAAUGAUUUCCCACGUUUCUGAUUAUUACACAAGGGGAGUGCAACGUACAAUGAGAGUUAAAAUGAUUUAUAAUGUAGAAUGCUCCAAAGGAUACACAACACAGAGGGUGAGAGAACUGCUGGAACACAAUCUUCUGGCAGUGCAUGAAAGCCCAGUAAUGAUCUUGGAAAUGUAUUGAUUCAGGGAUUAGCAUGAAAGGCAUCCAGCUAGGAUGCUUUGUUCUGUUUUGGGUGGCAUCGCUGGAGACCUUGAGGAAGGUCAGCAGAUCACACUGACUCUCAGUCAUUCCAGCUGGAAGCUGGGCAAGAAGCAAAGACCUCACGGAGGACCAGAUGCUGUAUGCACACUCACUGUUCCAGGAUAAAUAAAAGAAGAAAAUGCUUUUCAUUUGUUUGAGCA